AGCACAUCUCAAAUUAAUAAUGAGAUGGUACUUAGUCACACAAGCCAGAUCCACAUGCUGAAGAUGCGACAAGGACAUCGGUUCUAGACAUGUGCAAUUCGUUUCGUUCUGAAUGCAAAUUAGGACGAAUUUAGGAAAUAGGGCAUUCGGAUGCUUCCGAAUGUCCAAAGUGCCGAAUUUCCAAAGUGCCGAAUUUCCGAAGUGCCGAAUUUCUAAAUGCCAAACAGAAGCGAAGUUCUGAGUUUCGGAAUGCUGAACCCAAUUGCCAAAAUGCCG